AACGAACGCUGGCGGCAUGCCUAACACAUGCAAGUCGAACGAGACCUUCGGGUCUAGUGGCGCACGGGUGCGUAACGCGUGGGAACCUGCCCUUAGGUUCGGAAUAACUCCCCGAAAGGGGUGCUAAUACCGGAUAAUGUCUUCGGACCAAAGAUUUAUCGCCUUUGGAUGGGCCCGCGUUGGAUUAGCUAGUUGGUAGGGUAAAAGCCUACCAAGGCGACGAUCCAUAGCUGGUCUGAGAGGAUGAUCAGCCACACUGGGACUGAGACACGGCCCAGACUCCUACGGGAGGGAGCAGUGGGGAAUAUUGGACAAUGGGCGAAAGCCUGAUCCAGCAAUGCCGCGUGAGUGAUGAAGGCCGUAGGGUUGUAAAGCUCUUUUACCCGGGAUGAUAAUGACAGUACCGGGAGAAUAAGCUCCGGCUAACUCCGUG
rnacentral:rRNA from 1 species